GUGCCAGCCGCCGCGGUAAUACAGAGGGGGCAAGCGUUAUUCGGAAUUAUUGGGCGUAAAGGGCGCGUAGGCGGCCAAGCAAGUCAGGGGUGAAAUCCCUCGGCUCAACCGAGGAACUGCCUCUGAAACUGCAUGGCUUGAGACCGGGAGAGGGUGGUGGAAUUCCCAGUGUAGCGGUGAAAUGCGUAGAUAUUGGGAGGAACACCGGUGGCGAAGGCGGCCACCUGGACCGGUUCUGACGCUGAGGCGCGAAAGUGUGGGGAGCAAACAGGAUUAGAAACCCUCGUAGUCC
rnacentral:rRNA from 1 species